GAAAUGUGAUAAGUAGUGUGAAUUGCAGAAUUCAGUGAAUCAUCGAAUCUUUGAACGCACAUUGCGCCCCUCGGCAUUCCGUGGGGCAUGCCUGUUCGAGCGUCAUCUACACCCUCAAGCUCUGCUUGGUGUUGGGCGUCUGUCCCGCCUCCGCGCGCGGACUCGCCCCAAAUGCAUUGGCAGCGGUUCCUUGCCCCCCUCUUUGCGCAGCACAUUGCCAUUCGAGGCGGCGGCGGCCCGCGUCCAACAAGCUCAACCCCCCCGUCUUUGACCUCGGAUCAGGUAGGGAUACCCGCUGAACUUAAGC
rnacentral:misc_RNA from 1 species